GAAUGAAAUUAUGGCAAUCAUCUUUCAGGAAUAACCUAAAAUAAAGACAAUACUGUUGCUGAUCACAU